UACGUAGGGUGCGAGCGUUGUCCGGAAUUAUUGGGCGUAAAGAGCUUGUAGGCGGUUUGUCGCGUCUGCCGUGAAAAUUCGAGGCUCAACCCUCGAACUUGCGGUGGGUACGGGCAGACUAGAGUGUGGUAGGGGAGACUGGAAGUUCCUGGUGGUAGCGGUGGAAAUGCGCAGAUAAUCAGGAGGAACACCGAUGGCGAAGGCGG
rnacentral:rRNA from 1 species